rnacentral:tRNA from 1 species
GCAAGGCACUGAAAAUGCCUAGAUGAGUAUANUAACUCCAUAAACA